UUUAACUGAAGAGUUUGAUCAUGGCUCAGAUUGAACGCUGGCGGCAGGCUUAACACAUGCAAGUCGAGCGGGGGAAGGUAGCUUGCUACCGGACCUAGCGGCGG
rnacentral:rRNA from 1 species